UAGCAUAGUGAGUGGAAUAAGGAGAUGAUAGAAAUUAACUGAUCUGAUGAAUAGAAAAAGCAAUGUCCGGACAAGUAAUAGUGAGGUAGAUAAGACCAUAGGGCUAUGGCACCGUAGAUUUUGCUCGAGAGGAGUGGAGGUAAUCUUGCUAUCAUUGAGUACAUCCCGAGAGAGAAGAUUAGAAUAAUAUUUAGCUUGAGAGAGAUAAUAGCCAUCUCGAAACAAAAGCUUGUGGUGGAUUAACGGUCGAUAGGAUCAUCAGCCUAAUCAGCAUUAGAGUGGGCACCAAGCUUAAGGGAGGAAUGGGAGGAAUAGUAGAGACUAUGAAAUAGAGUACCCUUGACAUAGCGAAGGAUGCAGAGAACAAUAGCAUAGUGAAUGGAAUAAUGAGAUGAUAGAAAUUAACUGAUUUGAUGAAUAGCAAAAGCAAUGUUCGGACAAGUGAUAGUGAGGUAGACAAGACCAUAGGGCUAUGGCGCCGUAGAUUUUGCUCGAGAGGAGUGAAGGCAAUCUUGCUAUCAGUGAGUCCAUCCUGAGAGAGAAGAUUAGAAGAAUAUUUAGCUUGAGAGAGAUAAUAACCAUCAAAUCAAAUAGAAUCUCUUGACCCAAUAAGUAGCUGGCAGUGCGAAGAUCCUUCAUUUCAAAUUGGGUGCAAAGGAAAUCUUUCAACUCAAUGAUACCAGAAAGAUCAUUGUCCGUGAUGGUCAUGUCGUCAACAUAGAAUAGAAGAAGUGUUAGACCCCGAUCAGAGCAACAAAUAAAGAAGGCAGAGUCAUAAGGGCAAGUGGAGAAGCCAAAGUUCAAAAUUGUAGAACUGGACUUGGAAAACCAAGGCCGAGGAGACUGCUUGAGACCAUAAAGGGCAUGGUUGAGUUUACAGACCUAACAAGGCAGAAGAGAAGAACCUGGAGGAGGAUGCAUAUAGACUUCUUUAGAAAGAUCUCCAUUCAGAAAUGCAUUUUUGACAUCCAUCUAAUGUAGCAGCCAUGUGCAAAUAGCAGCAAUAGCAAGUACACUGCGAACAGAAGUGAACUUGGCAAUUAGGGCAAAUGUCUCCUCAUAGUCAAUCCCAUACUUUUGAGCAUAUCCUUUGGCAACAAGGCGAGUUUUGUAUCGCUCAAUCAAACCAUUAGAGCAGGUUUUGAGUUUGUAAACCCAAUUGCAGUUAAUUGGUGUUUUACUAGGAGGGAGGUCCACAAAAUCCCAAGUAUGAGUUUUGGCCAAGGCCUGUAGUUCCUCAGUCAUUGCUUGCUGCCAUGUAGGGUUAUAAUUGGCCUCACGAUAAGAAUGAGGUUAUGAUGAGAAAGCAUAGCAGUGAAGCAAGGAUAGUUACGAAGAUGAACAGAAGUGGCUUUUACCUAGGAGACCAAUGAAGGGGAAUAUCAGGAGAAUAACUAGUAGGAGACGGAGGAGGUAUUGGAAUCACUGUAAGCUCAGGUGAUGAUGAGGGAGUGGCAAGAUCCUUAGGCAGUGCAGACAUCUCAGUAGGCAUUGUAGACAGAUACGAAAGUGAAGUGGCAUUAGGAACAUCAGUAGGAAAUAAAUCAAUAGAUGGAUUAGUAAAGAAAGAGGGAGAGGUAAGAGUAGACAAAUGAAAAUAAGACAUAGAAGAGAACCCCAAAAAUGACAUUACGAGACAUACGAAGCCGCUUAGAUUGAGGAUCCCAGCAGCGAUAACCCUUAUGUUCUAUCCCAGGAAACAACAAAGACAAGCGCGAGGCUCUAAUUUUUUAUGCUUAUGAGGUUGAAGAAGUACAAAACAGGCACAACCGAAGAUACGAAGAUGGUUAUAGGAAGGAGGAUUACCAUACAACCGUUCAUAAGGGGAUUGGUUGUCCAAAAGAGGAGAUGGAAUAUGGUUGAUGGUAUAGAUAGCGGUGAGAGCGGCUUUCCCCCAGAAAUAUUUACGGUAAGAUGAGGAGAUAAGAAGGGCACGAACAGUGUCAAGAAUAUGACGGUGUUUACGGGUUCGGCGUAACCAUUUUGUUGAGAAGUGUUAGGGAAAGAUUCAUGAGAGAGGGUCCUUUAUAAGCCGAGGGAGGAGUGGAGGACAAGAAUGAUCUUCCGGAGAGGAAAGGGAAAAGGCGGACCCACGACCUCUUGGAACGAUGGGUAGGGAAAUUUUGGUGUGGAUCACGGCAGCAAAAUCUCGAUUGGUUUGAGGUAGUUCAAAUCUAUUGUGGAGUAAGUAGAUCCAUGUAAAUCGUGUAUAAUCAUCCACAAAAAUGAUAAAGUAUUUUGCACUACCCAUUGUAUUGUAUGGAGAGGGUUCCCAAAUAUUAGAGUGAAUAAGGUCGAAGGGAGCAGAGGUAAUAGAAUCACUAUUAUUAAAAGGUAGAGCCGGUUGUUUUGCAAGUUAACAUGACACACAAUCAAGUGGUCCAAUACUAACAGAGCCUAGUUGGCCACUUGAGAUUAAUCAACGCAAACGUCUAAGAAAAAUGUGACCAAGAAGAGAAUGCCAAAGAUGAAAAGAUGAUGGUGAGGUGGAAGCAGAAAC
rnacentral:lncRNA from 1 species